rnacentral:rRNA from 1 species
UACGUAGGGGGCUAGCGUUGUCCGGAUUUAUUGGGCGUAAAGAGCGUGUAGGCGGCCAGACAGGUCUGCUGUGAAAACUCGAGGCUCAACCUCGAGAUGUCGGCGGAAACCGUCUGGCUAGAGUCCGGAAGAGGAGAGUGGAAUUCCUGGUGUAGCGGUGAAAUGCGCAGAUAUCAGGAAGAACACCUAUGGCGAAGGCAGCUCUCUGGGACGGUACUGACGCUGAGACGCGAAAGCGUGGGGAGCGAACAGG